rnacentral:rRNA from 1 species
CCUACGGGAGGCAGCAGUGAGGAAUAUUGGUCAAUGGGCGCGAGCCUGAACCAGCCAAGUAGCGUGAAGGAUGACUGUCCUACGGGUUGUAAACUUCUUUUAUCAAGGAAUAAAGUGAGGCACGUGUGCCUUUUUGUAUGUACUUUAUGAAUAAGGAUCGGCUAACUCCGUGCCAGCAGCCGCGGUAAUACGGAGGAUCCGAGCGUUAUCCGGAUUUAUUGGGUUUAAAGGGAGCGUAGAUGGGUUGUUAAGUCAGUUGUGAAAGGUUGCGGCUCAACCGCAAAAUUGCAAUUGAUACUGGCAGUCUUGAGUACAGUUGAGGUAGGCGGAAUGCGUGGUGUAGCGGUGAAAUGCUUAGAUAUCGCGAAGAACUCCGAUUGCGAAGGCAGCUUACUAAACUGCCACUGACAUUGAGGCUCGAAAGUGUGGGUAUCAAACAGCAUUAGAUACCCUUGUAGUC